ensembl:ncRNA ZK809.14 ncRNA
GAACAAUGCAAGAAAAAAGAAAGAGAAAAGUGCGCCGCGCGCUUGCACCUCGAAACUCCGCCUUCUUUUGCAAGCCGCAACGGGCUUUUUAAUAAAUGGCAGAUCUAAAUUUAACUGCAAAAUAGUUUGUUUUAUUCAAAUUU